rnacentral:rRNA from 1 species
GAUGAACGCUGGCGGCGUGCCUAAUACAUGCAAGUCGAGCGAACAGACGGGGAGCUUUCGCCUUUGGCGUUAGCGGCGGACGGGUGAGUAACACGUGGGUAACCUACCUAUAAGACUGGGAUAACAUCGGGGAACCGGAGCUAAUACCGGAUAAUAUUUCGAACCGCAUGGUUCGAUAGUGAAAGAUGCCUUUGCUAUCACUUAUAGAUGGACCAAGGCCGUAUUAGCUAGUUGGUAAGGUAACGGCUUACCAAGGCAACGAUCCGUAGCCGACCUGAGAGGGUGAUCGGCCACACGGGAACUGAGAAACGGUCCAGACUCCUACGGGAGGCAGCAGUAGGGAAUCUUCCGAAAUGGGCGAAAGCCUGACGGAGCAACGCCGCGUGAGUGAUGAAGGUCUUCGGAUCGUAAAGCUCUGUUAUUAGGAAAGAACAAACGUGUAAGUAACCGUGCACGUCUUGACGGUACCUAAACAGAAAGCCACGGCUAACUACGUG